rnacentral:rRNA from 1 species
UGCCCUUUGCACUGGGAUAGCCUCGGGAAACCGAGGUUAAUACCGGAUACUCCAUAUUUGUCGCAUGGCGAAUAUGGGAAAGCUCCGGCGGCAAAGGAUGGGCCCGCGGCCUGUUAGCUAGUUGGUGGGGGUAGUGGCCUACCAAGGCAAUGAUGGGUAGCCGGGUUGAGAGACCGACCGGCCAGAUUGGGACUGAGACACGGCCCAGACUCCUACGGGAGGCAGCAGCU